GGGUCCGUAGCUCAGUUGGUUAGAGUACUACCUUGACAUGGUAGGGGGCGGCGAUUCGAGUUCGCCCGGACCCACCA
rnacentral:tRNA from 1 species